UGAGGAAUAUUGGUCAAUGGGCGAGAGCCUGAACCAGCCAAGUCGCGUGAAGGAAGACUGCCUUAUGGGUUGUAAACUUCUUUUAUACAGGAAUAAAAAGGCUUACGUGUAGGCCAUUGCAAGUACUGUAUGAAUAAGCAUCGGCUAACUCCGUGCCAGCAGCCGCGGUAAUACGGAGGAUGCGAGCGUUAUCCGGAUUUAUUGGGUUUAAAGGGUGCGCAGGCGGGCUUUUAAGUCAGCGGUGAAAUCUGGACGCUUAACGUCCAAACUGCCGUUGAAACUGGGAGUCUUGAGUAUGGAUGAAGUAGGCGGAAUUCGUUGUGUAGCGGUGACAUGCAUAGAUAUAACGAGGAACUCCGAUUGCGUAGGCAGCUUACUAAGCCAUAACUGACGCUCAUGCACGAAAGCGUGGGGAUCAAACAGGAUUAGAUACCCUGGUAGUCCACGCCGUAAACGAUGAUUACUAGUUGUAUGCGAUAUGAUAGUAUGUGACUAAGCGAAAGCGAUAAGUAAUCCACCUGGGGAGUACGCCGGCAACGGUGAAACUCAAAGGAAUUGACGGGGUCAUAGCUG
rnacentral:rRNA from 1 species